rnacentral:tRNA from 1 species
GAGGUUGUAGCUCAGUGGUAGAGUGCUUGCCUAGCAUGUAUGAGGCUCUGGGUUUGAUUCUCAGCACCACA